UUUCCCAGUCUCAAGCUUAGUGGGGGUAUUUAAUAACAGCUGAUAAUUCCUUCUCUAGCAUCUGAUUGGUGUAUUUUGAAGUGGUGACUGCAAAACUAUCUGCACAUCAGAGGGAAAGCUGGGUUAAAUCUUUCAUAGUUGUUCAUAUUAAAGAAAAUAUGCAGUAUCAGCUAGACAUGGAAGAGGGAGCAUUUAAUCAUGAUUCAUCUGAUGAACAGCAUCCUCAGCCAGCUCCUAAAUAUCACCAGUGUCAUCUCGGGCAUACAGCUUGACUAAUACAGUGGAUGUAUCUCUGACUGCUGUCUGAGAAGCCAUGAUCCCACAUCAUUUUUGCCCUUCUUCUGCAGAUAUUUUGAUUAGUUUGCUCUUCUUCAUACAUGGGUCAAGGCACAGGAAGAAACAGACGGGAUUAUUUACCUUGAAGAUAAAGAUCUUAAAAACUGUUGGACAUUUGAUGAAGUUCUCAGAAUCUGAUCUUUUCUUCUUCUCCUAACCCUGCAGUAGUUUGAUACUGAGGAAGAUGACUCCCACCUGCAUUAGAAAAUAGAAUGAAUCCCAGCACCCCAAAACAAGCCCCCCAGAUUAUAUCAGUAAAACAGCGAAGGCAAAUAAAAAAUGGAGAUUAAUAAUCUAUACUGAAAAAAGAAACAUGACUGAAGAUAUCUUUUCAGUGCUCAGUGAGAGCAACAACUGAAACAUCAAGGUGUCAUCACCAAAAAUCCUGAACACAGCAACAUAUGAGCCUCUAUGAAAAUAAUUUACUAUAUUUCAGCCAAACCCUAAGCAUCAUGCCAGACAUAAUGAAGAAAAUCAACACUGUCCCAGCAGAAACCAGGACACCAUUUUCAGCGGUCCCUGAGAAGUGUACCUGCUUCAGUGUCGCCUCAUCCUUGAAUCACAGUCUAUCAUCCAUGUUGUGUACCUACCCUGUCUACAAUGUAGACAGUCACGGAUGCUUUGAAGUCUACCUGUUCUAGUGUACACAACAAUUACUAACAGGCCACAGCUUUCCCAGAAGUAUACUUUCUGUGGUGUGGACUUGUCCAUAUUCACAGUUGUUUUGAGGUAUAAGUACAAACAAACAAACAAAUAAAAAUAUUAAUU